rnacentral:rRNA from 1 species
GACAGAGGUGCCGAGCGUUAGGCGGAAUCACUGGGCUUAAAGCGUGUGUAGGCGGGUGCCUAAGUACCUUGUGAAAUCCCACGGCUCAACCGUGGAACUGCUUGGUAUACUGGGUAUCUUGAGCCACUUAGGGGCAACCGGAACAAACGGUGGAGCGGUGAAAUGCGUAGAUAUCGGGAGGAACACCGGUGGUGUAGACGGCUCUCUGGGCCGAUACUGACGCUGAGGAGCGAAAGCGUGGGGAGCGAACAGG